UACGUAGGUGACCAGCGUUGUCCGGAUUUACUGGGCGUAAAGAGCGCGCAGGCGGUCGUUCAAGUCGAGUGUGAAAGCCCCCGGCUCAACUGGGGAGGGUCAUUCGAUACUGAUCGACUGGAAGGCAGGAGAGGGAAGCGGAAUUCCCGGUGUAGUGGUGAAAUGCGUAGAUAUCGGGAGGAACACCAGUGGCGAAGGCGGCAUCCUGGACCAUUACUGACGCUGAGGCGCGAAAGCUAGGGGAGCAAACGGG
rnacentral:rRNA from 1 species